CGAAAGAGAUAAACGUUCGAUUGGUCAAGGUCACAUUAUGUCACAAAGAAUAUCAGCCAAUCGUUUACGGAGGAACGUCGGGAGAAAUUGCAUAAUGAGGCAGCACUACUCGUGCUCGGACUCGCAUUCGACUGACUUGUCGGGAUCGAUAGUUAUGUGGAAAGGGAGGCAAGUCAUGAUACAAGCCUGAUGAUAGUGGAUAUCCUCUCGUUGUCGCUACAUCAAAGAGGCUGGCGACGCGUUGUGCAGGCAAUUUGGACUAGAACGAGACUGUAGUUCAGUGGACUCUUGCUACGAUUACUUCACCAUCCAUCGACGGAUCCUCCGAGUCAGCGACGUGAGAACAACUGAUGCCAGUGUGGACAUACCCGAUUUGGCCAUUAUAUGAAUCAUGGGAUGCGUUCAGUAUACGACCUGAUCCACAAAAAUUUUGGAUCUGUUUUACUGAACGACAAGUGGCAAGCGAUGGGUGGCAGACCGGAUCUACAAGUUCUGAUUCAGUACAAAAUACGAAUCAUAAGCUUUUUCAAUAUGGGAGCUCCCUUGGUUGGAAGCGAGAUUAUAACCGUUACAGUUGUUUACGACAGUAAAAAAAAAUAUAUAUAUAUAUAUCAAAGUUUCACAAAAAAAUUUAUGAAUUAUUACGAUAGGGUAAAUGUUUUAUUUAUGGUGCAG
rnacentral:lncRNA from 1 species